rnacentral:rRNA from 1 species
AGAUUGAACGCUAGCGGCAUGCCUAACACAUGCAAGUCGAACGGUAACAGGCCCUUCGGGGUGCUGACGAGUGGCGGACGGGUGAGUAAUGCGUAGGAAUCUACCCACGAGUGGGGGAUAACGUAGGGAAACUUACGCUAAUACCGCAUACGACCGAGAGGUGAAAGCGGGGGACCGAAAGGCCUCGCGCAGCAGGAUGAGCCGAUGUCCGAUUAGCUGGUUGGUGGGGUAACGGCCCACCAAGGCGACGAUCGGUAGCUGGUCUGAGAGGAUGAUCAGCCACACUGGGACUGAGACACGGCCCAGACUCCUACGGGAGGCAGC